rnacentral:rRNA from 1 species
GGAAUCUUCCACAAUGGACGCAAGUCUGAUGGAGCAACGCCGCGUGAGUGAAGAAGGUCUUCGGAUCGUAAAACUCUGUUGUUAGAGAAGAACACGAGUGAGAGUAACUGUUCAUUCGAUGACGGUAUCUAACCAGCAAGUCACGGCUAACUACGUGUCCAG